CUGAGGCUCCGUUAAGACUGAAGGUACAUGUGUUCCAAAUCUGGUGUUUGAGUCCAUAUGUGACCUGGAUCUGAUCUGUUAAAUAGUCUGAACAGCACUACUCUGACACAGACCACUUUCAUAUGUGGUCCUAAAUCUGACCCAGACCACUUUGGCUCUAGGUCCUGAAAUCUGAUCCAGA